GGUAUGAUCAUCUUAUUGAGAAGUAUACAGUGCAAAAAAGGUUUUUCAAAACACUACAGGAUAAAUAACAAAUGAAUUCUUAAAACUGUUAAUCUCUGACAUCCAUAAAAAUUCAUCAGAGAGCAUUUUACUACUGAGCUGCAAAGGGAAAAACUUAAAAUGGAUAUGAAAAGUGAAGAAAGUGAUCAUAGGAGAAAACCAUUUCAGAUGACAAGAGCACCUCAAAGGCAGCAGCCUCAAGGAGCAGCCAUGGCCCCAGACUUGUCGCACGGAUGCAGAAAACUUAAUGGAGGAGGCUGAGGUCAGAAUGGGAAGAGUUUUUAAAAAAUAAAAAGGGGAGCUAAUAUGUGAGGAACUGAUUGCUGUGCAUUAUUUUCCACUGAACAGACCUUCUUUUAACUUCUAAUCUCAAGCACAUAGCAGCUGUUGUUUUCAUAUUAAAGAUCAGUAAGUGUUUGUUGAAUGAAUGUAUAAAUUCUUCCCCAAUCUCUGUUCCAUGUAAUAAGAACUAAGUUAGCAUUCAAUUAUAAAGAGGACUUAGAAAGUCUGCAGACAUUUUUGAUCAAAAAUCCUUUUAACUGUCUUCUUAUGGUUCCCGGUAACACCUAAGCCCAAAAAACUCAGGUCAUUUCUUGCCUGUACUGUUGCAAUAGCCUCAUAAUAACUAGUCUUCUCCUUUAUCAACCACAGUCGUCUCCGCUACACAAAGAAGAGAGGGUGCUAAUCUAAAGUGUAAAUUAUUUUAAAUCAGCACCCUUCUUGUAAUUUCCCAGUGGUUUUUCCUGUCAUAAGAAUAACAUGCAAAAUUCCUUGCUUGCAAAGCCAGGUAUGACCUUGCCCCGUCUACCUUACUGGCAUCGUCUCUCAUGACUCUUCCCCUUUUUCACUCUCCAUCUUGCCUUUUCCCAACCAUGCCUGCUAGUGAGCCUUAGCCCUUGUGUUUUCUCUGCCAGGGAUGCAUGACUGGCUUCUUUACUUUAUUCUGAUCUCUCUGCUCAAAUGUCAUCUUUUUAGAGAUAGCUUUCCUAAACAUCUUUAAAAGUACCCCAUGAACUGUGAAACACCUUUCCUGCUUUUUCUUCAUAGUACUUAUCACUUCCUGAUAUUAUGUUAGACAACAAGCAAAUAAGUAUAUGCUGUUCCCACUAAAAUAUAAGCUCCAUUUGAACAGGAGCCUUGAUUAUUCCUGAGUAUACCCCUAGUGCCCAGAACCUAGUAGGGCUUUAAUAAAUAUUAGAUUCAUUUGUUGAAUGAAAAAAUGAAUGAAUAAUUGAAUAAAGAUAUCCAGGUAGAGUGUCCGGGCAGCCCAACCUAUGUGAAGCCAGUACAAGAAUGUUUCUGUGACAUAGUGAGCGCAAUUAUUCCUCUAAAUGAUGAACUUGCAUGAGUACACAAGGAUAAAAUUAAGCACGUAGUUUAGAUUUCUGCAAGUCUCUUCCUCAGAUUGAGGAAAAACAAAGAAAUUGAGCUUAUUCUCACCUCAUUCUUACAUGAACUAAAUCCAGAAUAAAGCAUCAUUUAAAUACCAAGCACAUCCCUACCUCAGCCACUCAUGGAAUACUUUAUCUGUAAAGGGACAGAUAGAUAGUAAAUAUUUUUGGCUUUGGGGACCGUACAGUCUGUGUCGCCACUACUCAGCACUUCUGUUGAGGUGUGGAAUCAGCCCUAGACAACACAUAAACAAAUGGGUGUGGCUGUGUUCCAAUAAAAUGUUAUUUAUAAAACUAGGAAAUCAGCAGAUUUAGUCCACAGGCUGUAGUUUGCUGACCCUUGAAUUAGAGAGUCUUCCCCAAAUCCUCUUCCCAAGUUAUUGAAAGAAUGCCCAUAGGACCAUAGCUCCCUCACCUGGUUCUUUCAAGAAAUGAGACAAAUUCAGGGAUGGUUGGAGGGUGGAACGCCUACCUGUGACAUGACUAUUGAGCCUGAUUUCUUUCCUUUUAUCUCUUUAAAGUGAGUCAGGUCUUAACUUUAAACUGUCUCUAAAGUGGCAAUAACUGGGCCAUGUCAAAUACUCCCAAUGACAAAAUUUCUUCUUGGAGAAUGAAUGAGGGUUGCAUACAGUGGUGUGUUGGUAAAUGUUUAGCAACUGGCUCUCUUACUGAUUUCUGUAGUGUAAAUUCUCCCAUCCUGGCCAUCUGAAACUACCAAUAUGAUGUCACUUGAUGUAGAGUUGGGAAAAGACAGUCUCUUGAAUAAGUAUGAGCUGGUUCCAGCCCACUGCUGAACACAUAUUUAAAAGCUACAAUAGCUCUGCUCACUGCCAUUGCAGAGUCUGGAGGAAAGAGUAGCAGGCUUGAUAGGAGCAAUUGGCUGAAUAAUCUUUUGCAAUGCCAAUAAAUAAUGAAAAAGUAUAUAAAUAUAACGCUGUAUAGAAAGCUCUCAAGUUCAGUGUUUGGUUAAAAUACAUACUCAGUAAAUGGUAGCUAUUAUUGUCUUAGUUUAAGUUAUUGCAAGCAUUAAAAUUAAAUGUUUAGCUACAGACUCAAUCCAGUUUUAAUGUCAUUGUGUUAAUAAGGCCUCUUAACAUUGAAGCAACAAAGAUAAAGGAAUUUUUUUGUAGCUAUUCACGAUUCUGCCCAGCUCAAGGUAAAGAUAGCAACAAAAUACUCCAACCAGAAUAAAAGAAGUCUCCACUUGACUGCAGCUCUUCGCAACACUUCACAAGGGUCAAGCUGUGUUAGUUUCCUUCAGUGUUAAACAGAAUGCAUCUUAAGAGAAUAGUUCAAUUAUUGAUUGAAUAGUAGGUUCAAGUUGACUAUAAUCCCAACUAAUACACUCUAAGACCAGGGAUGGGCCGACAGAAGGGUAAAGUUUUCCACUCAAGUCUCGAGGCAAACACUCAGAUAGAAGUAGUAAUAUGGAUGCCUUCUAUUAUUUGGUCACAUACAAUACUGUUCCAGCCCAGUUGUGCAAAACUGGUGAAAUAAAAGGCAAAAAUAUUGACAACAGUUUGGGUAACUGGAUUCCAAAAUGGGCAUCCAUCUAAGAGAAAUUAAUGAAAAAAAAGCAUAUGGACCUUGAAAUACAUUAAUACACAGUUUAGGUUUAAACACUCAGUUUUUAUUAGAAAAGACUAACUUAUCCUGUUUUGAACACUACAAAAGUGCUUUCUGAACCAUUUACUCUCAAACCUCCUCCACCCAUUCCCCUCCAUCUAUAACGCUUUCUGCACAUCUGUAAAAGGUAUGACUUAGUGUUUGGUCUGUGAAAUAAGGUUAAAAAGGAAGCAUUUCUUUUUACAUUCUAGCUAAUGUUGAUAUUUUUCUCAUGCUUCUAUUAGCACAUAAUUCAGAUACAUUAGUUUUGAAGUUUUGAAUCUUCUCUGCUUCUUGAGGGCUCUCUGUUCUAGAUCAACAUGAUCUGUGGAACACCAGCCAAGUCCUGGGCAGAACCCUCCCCGUUGUCCAAAUAUUACUGAAUCAGUUGAGUUUUCUCUGUUGUCAAUGAAUUAUUCCACAUGUUUCUUUGGCUACAUUUUUUUUGGCUUUCUGUUCACAGUAAAUAUAGCCUUUGUUUUUAAAAACUUCUAUUAUGAAAAUUCCAAAUAUAUGCAAAUUAGAGAGAAUAGCAUAAUGAACCUCUAUGUGCUUAUCACACAUAUAGGUUCAACUAAUUAAAUUAUAUCAAUUUAUGGCCAAUCUGGUUUCAUUUAUAACAUCAUUCGCUCAUUCCUAACUCCCUGGAUUAUUUGAUUGACAUGUUUCUAAAGUUCCUUUUAAUCUGUAGGUUCCCCCUCUCAUUUAAUCUUUUGCAACUUAUUCAUUGAUGAAACUGGGUUAUUUGUCCUUUAUUGUUUCUCUCAUUCUGAAAUAUGCUGUAAUGUCAUUAACCAUAUUCUUCUUUCCUGUAUUUUCUGUAAGCUUUGAGCUAGGCAGAAAUAUUUUAAUCAGAUUCCUUUUUUUUUCUUUUAGCAAGAUUUCUUCAUAAAUAAUAUUGUAUGUGUUCAUGAAAAUAGAAAUAAAAAUAGAAAUAAAGAAGAAAUAACAGAAA
rnacentral:lncRNA from 1 species